GUGCUCCCCCGCCAAUUCCUUUAAGUUUCAGUCUUGCGACCGUACUCCCCAGGCGGCAGACUUAACGGCUUCCCUGCGGCACUGAAUAGGCACGAAGCCUAUUCAUCACCGAGUCUGCAUCGUUUACAGCUGGGACUACCCGGGUAUCUAAUCCGGUUUGCUCCCCCAGCUUUCAUCCCUCACCGUCGAGUGCGUUCUGGCAAGCCGCCUUCGCCACUGGUGGUCUUCAGUGGAUCAACGGAUUUUACCCCUACCCACUAAGUACCGCUUGCCUCUCCCGCCUCCUAGCUCUAUAGUAUCCUCUGCAGCCCAUCUGUUAAGCAGAUGGAUUUAACGGAAGACUUGCAGAACCGGCUACGGAUGCUUUAGGCCCAAUAAUCGUCCCGACCACUCGGGGUGCUGGUAUUACCGCGGCGGCUGACACCAGGCUUGCCCACCCCUUAUUCUGCACCAUUUUUAGAGGUGCCAAAAGAUCUCCUUAGCGGAAAUCACUCAGAAUAACCUUGUCAAGCUUUCGCUUAUUGCAAAGGUUUCGCGCCUGCUGCGCCCCAUAGGGCCUGGGCCCUUGUCUCAGUGCCCAUCUCCGGGCUUCUCCUCUCAGAGCCCGUACCGGUUUUAGGUUUGGUGGGCCAUUACCUCACCAACAGCCUGAUCGGCCGCAGUCCAAUCCAGGGGCCAUGUAGAUUUCAGCCAUAAAUCAUUCCAGACAUUAUGACCUAUCGCGGUUUAUCCUCAGUUUCCCGAGGUUAUCCACGUCCCCUGAGCAUGUUGACUACGUGUUACUGAGCAGU
rnacentral:rRNA from 1 species